CCGCGCUAAGCGGGGAGAUAGCGGUGCCCUGUACCUGCAAUCCGCUACAGCAGGGUGGAAGUCCCGUUCCCCGGCAAGCGCCUGUGGGGCCAGAUCCCGAUAAGGGGCGUUGAGCGUCGGGUCCCGUGCAAUCGCAGGCCGUGAACCAUGUCAGGUCCUGACGGAAGCAGCAUUCAGCGGAAAUCGCGAUGUGCCGCGGAGCAGCCUGAAAGGAGCAACCUGUCGGAGCGUCGCCCGGAGGCGUGUUUGUCAAAGUUCGGGUGCGCGG
rnacentral:SRP_RNA from 1 species